rnacentral:lncRNA from 1 species
UAAUAUAUUGUGGAACCAGUAUCUAAUUUUAAUAGCACGGAGCAUCUGAACAUAUUUAAAUUUCAAAGAACACAUAAUAAGUUUGGAAAUUCAGUGUUCUGAAAAUUGGAUGUGAUUCAUUUUGGGACAUUGCUGUCAGCAAAAGAGGGUUUCCAAGUUCCGGAUUAAAUAGGAUAUCAAUGUAUAACAUGGACUACUCAAUUAUGUUUUCUUCAGUUCAUACAUAUAUUUUGUCAUUACCAGUUUCGGAUAGAUGAAAUUACACUACUGAAUAAUGAUUAAUUUUAAUAAUAAUUUUAUCAUUUUUGAAAUGAAUUAUGAUUGUGAGGAAUGAAACAUUAAAUUAUUGCUAAGAUUGAUAUACCAUUGUCCAACUGUGAAGAAGUAGGUAGGUAGCCAAUUUUAAAAGUGCAGAUCUUUGAAGACCAGGACGUGUAAAUGUGAAUUGGAAAGUGGCAACAUAUACCUAGUUCAGACUUCAGAAAUUUAGUUAGACAUGAUUUAUGGAAAUUGGAUUCAUUAAUUUUUGGACAUUCAAAACUAUACCAUACUACUAUUGUCUGAUUGUGAAGAAGUAGGUAGCUAAUUUUAAUAGUGCAGAUCUUAGAAGACCAGGAUGUGUAAAUGUGAAUUGGAAAGCGGCAACAUAUACCUAGUUCAGACUUCAGAAAUUUAGUUAGACAUGAGUUAUGGAAAUUGGAUUCAUUAAUUUUUGGUCAUUCAAAGUAGCUUUAGAAACCCUAAUAAAUGUAUUUUCUAUCUAAUAAUUGUAUUAAAUAUAAUUAAAUAAGAUUUUAUAUUUAACUUAUGA